CCUGAGUGAAACGUGGUCAAGGAACUCGGCAUAAUGAUCCCGUAACUUCGGAAGAAGGGAUGCCAGAGACGGUGUAGGGAACACCGAAGCUGUUUCUGGUCGCAGCGAAUCGGCCCAAGCGACUGUUUAGCAAAAACACAGGUGUGUGCCAAGCCGCACAAGGCGCCGUAUACACACUGACGCCUGCCCGGUGCCGGAAGGUUAAGGGGAGAGGUUAGCCGCAAGGCGAAGCUUUGAGCCGAAGCCCCGGUAAACGGCGGCCGUAACAAUAACGGUCCUAAGGUAGCGAAAUUCCUUGUCGGGUAAGUUCCGACCUGCACGAAUGGCGUAACGACUUGGGCACUGUCUCGACCACGUGCUCGGCGAAAUUGCAGUCUCGGUGAGGAUUCCGAGUCCCCGCGACAGGACAAAAAGACCCCAUGCACCUUUACUGUAGCUUGUCAUUGGUCGUUGCACAUCGCUGUGUAGCAUAGGUGGGAGUCGAUGAGCCCGGGGCGCUAGCUCCGGGGGAGACAUCAGUGAAAUACCACCCUGCGUCGUGCGACGCCCUCACCACGGCGGGAACACCCCGUCUGGGACCGUGGCAGGUGGGCAGUUUGACUGGGGCGGUCGCCUCCGAAACAGUAACGGAGGCGCGCGCAAGGUUGGCUCAGCGCGGACGGUACUCGCGCUUCUAGAGUGUAACGGCAGAAGCCAGCCUGACGGUGAGAUCGACGGAUCGAGCCGCCACGAAAGUGGGCCGUAGUGAUCCGGUAGCCCGGGGUGGAGCGGCUAUCGCGCAACGGAUAAAAGGUACGCUGGGGAUAACAGGCUUAUCGCGCCCGAGAGUUCACAUCGACGGCGCGGUUUGGCACCUCGAUGUCGGCUUAUCACAUCCUGGGGCUGGAGAAGGUCCCAAGGGUCCGGCUGUUCGCCGGUUAAAGUGGUACAUGAGCUGGGUUCAGAACGUCGUGAGACAGUUCGGUCUGUAUCCGUCGUGGGCGUUGGAGAGUUGAGGGGAGCGGACUCUAGUACGAGAGGACCGAGUCGGACGACCCGCUCGUGUCCCGGUUGUCCUGCCAAGGGCACCGCCGGGUAGCGAUGGUUGGCUGUGAUAACCGCUGAAAGCAUCUAAGUGGGAAGCACGCCCCAAGAUGAACUCUCCCGAGGCCUUGAGCCUCUUGAAGGGCCGGGGAAGACCACCCCGUCGAUAGGCCGCCCGUGGACGUCCCGCAAGGGAUUCCAAGCGCAGCGGUCCUAAUCGCCCGUACGGCUUGACUAC
rnacentral:rRNA from 1 species